rnacentral:pre_miRNA from 1 species
GGGACGUGGGAAAGACACAAAACUCCCAACACAGCUAAAAUUUUAUAGCUGUGUUUGGAGUUUUGUGUCUGUCCUACAUCCCU